CAACUACUCCCUCUGUCCCAAAAUUCUUGUCUUAGAUUUGUCUAGAUACGGAUGUAUCUAAUACUAAAACGUGACUUGAUACAUCCAUAUCUAGACAAAUCUAAGACAAGAAUUUUGGGACGGAGGAAGUACUUU
rnacentral:pre_miRNA from 1 species